AAGCUCCAAAAAAGACGAAACUUUUCAAUCAAAGCUAAAAUAGGAGAAGAAGAUAAACCCUACCAUUCAAAUUCUCCAAAUAGGACACAAAGGGCAAAUCCCCAACAGAAGAAGAAAUCAGUACCUCUCAAUCAUAUUCGCAAAGGCAAUGGAAGUUCACUUUCAAGAGGAAAUACUUAUGGACAUCCUUAGCAGGUUAUCUGUGCAGUCUCUUCUUCGAUUCAAAUGUGUUUCGAAUUUUUGGAAAACAUUGAUCUCCGGGCCUUACUUUAAGAUGACGCAUCUCAAUCAUGCCAAGAAUGAUGAAAAUUCCCAAAAAUUUCUCAUUUGCCAGUUGUGCCCUGGGGAUGGUAUAUAUUCCGUAUGCUGUUGUCCAUUAACGUUGGUUCAACGGGUUGAGGAUGUACGAAAACUUGAUUGCCCUUCAGACUCUUAAUUGUGGUAUUGCUCAAUCUCUUGUUGUUAUGAUGGCUUGGUUAUUAUUGAGGUUUGUGAUAAUACUGUUGAUGAACACCACAUACUUGUGCUAUGGAACCCCUCGACAGGAGAAUCAAUAGUACUUCCUGAUCCAGAAUUUCCACCGAAGGGAGUUUCUUGUUUGGGAUUGGGUUAUGACUCAACUAGCGGUGACUAUAAGAUUCUUAAGGUUGACGAGAAGAAAGAGAAUGGUCGCAAAGUACUAGUGAAAUUCUUGCGCUGAAAAGUGGUUCGUGGAGAAAAAUUGAUAAACAUCCUCGUGACAUUCACAACGAGUUGUUUGGAGAUCCCGGAUAUAUAAAGUCGUACCAAAAUAUAGGUUUGCGGAUGGUGAAGUCCUAUUCUGGUGCAGGGGUUUUGACGGGCAGUCAGUUAGGACGUCCAGAGGACCAUUUGGAUUGAGGCCUCGAGCUAAUAGCUUUCAGAAUGGAUUCGCUUUUACAGAAAGUUUGAUCUCUCCAAAACUACUUACUUAGUAUUUGCUUUUAUAUGAUCGAAGACACUUUUCCUUUUUUCCGUUAUCAUGUUACAACCUCUUAUUCUUGUUAGUUUAUCUAUUACUCGCCAGUUUUUUGGUUUCAAAAUGUAUUUACCAAAGCUUUGAGCUUGCUUGUUUCAUUCCCCCCUCCUCCUCUCUCUUCUACUUAUUGAUAGUCUAGUCUUAUAUACUAAUUGCUUCGAGUAA